rnacentral:rRNA from 1 species
GACGAACGCUGGCGGCGUGCUUAACACAUGCAAGUCGAACGAAGUGGCGAACGGGUGAGUAACGCGUAAUCAACCUGCCCUUCAGAGGGGGACAACAGUUGGAAACGACUGCUAAUACCGCAUACUGAUGACGGGGUUUGCGUCUGAUUAGCUAGUGGGAGGGGUAAGGGCCAACCAAGGCGAUGAUCAGUAGCCGGUCUGAGGGAAUGAACGGCCACAUUGGGACUGGGACACGGCCCAGACUCCUACGGUAGGCAGCAGUGGGGAAUCUUCCGCAAUGGACGAAAGUCUGACGGAGCAACGCCGCGUGAGUGAUGACGGCCUUCGGGUUGUAAAGCUCUGUUAAUCGGGACGCGGUACCGGAAUAGAAAGCCACGGCUAACUACGUGCCAGCAGCCGCGGUAAUAC